ensembl:lncRNA
UGUGAAUCAGAUUACUUCACUCCUGAAAGGCUAAAUAAAAAUAAGACUAUUGAACCCCUUUGUGAUGGGAGUUUGUGAUUCCACCUCAACUGUAAAACACCUGCAGCUGUUUCCAAAGCUGCAUCAACCAAACACGCCACAUCUCAAGGGUCCGUUCUGGGCCUCAUCGCUUUCUCCAUUUUCUUCCCAUUGGACAGUUAAGUGAUGCAUCUUUUAAUUUACAUAUUGUCGAGGGAUUCUCAAACUCAGCUUUACAGAUGUUUUGCUUAAAUCAACAAAUAGUUUAGCCAUCAUGAAUGUAUAAACGUCAGGGGAAUAAAACGCUUUUACUAACACAGAAGAUGGGAUUUUCAUCUCUUGCAACACCACUAGCAUGACUGCCCCAAUUAAUUUUCCCCCAACUUUGGAUAUACAUCUUGAUGCAACAUCAUAUAUGAACUGGUGUUUAAAAAAAAUGUACUGAAUUAAUUUAGGUUGUUUCUUAUUUAUUAAACAGUCUAUUUCAAAACACACACGGCUGAGUCAAGAGUCCGCGGAUCAAUUCCAGGAGCGCACGGUAUUCUUUCUAAAUCGGUUACUUCAGAGUUAAAUAUGAUAAGACCUUGAAAAUCCCCAAAAGUGGAAACAGUAUUUUGUGUGAAGUAAGGUAACUGGAAAACUAUCACACUGAAAAACUGCAUGUGGAAAUUAAAGCCCGAGAUAGAACAGGGGCCGGGAAGUCCUACAAACCUCAGCAAAUCCAGGUCAUGGUUACCGGCCCGGUGUCCUCAUUCGAGGCCGAAAAGCUUUAAUUCUCACCACUGGAUGUAGAACAGAGGUUGGCAGAGGUUCUCAGCGGUCUCAGAGUCUUCGGGAGGGGCCGAUGGGAAAGAGGUUAUCUGAGGCAGAGUGCUAAAAACUGACUGAAGCCCACAAAAUUCUCCCCACCCUCGCUCAGUGGGUGGAGGUGAGAGGGUUGAAGUGGUUCCGACACCCUGCGAUCACAUAACUGGGACGACGCAGAGACUGACAGAGUGCGAAGUUGAUAAAUACAUUUUCUCUCAUAUUUCCCUUCAAAUAUUACCUUUCAUACCAUUUUAAGGCUUUUGCUUGUUUUAGUUGGUGCAUUGAAUAUAUAUUUUUUCUACUGUUUAGAUUUGUUUGAUAUGGUCUUUGAUGAAGAUACAGAUUUCCAUAAAGGCUUGAAAUGUGCUUUGAGGUACUGCAUCAUAAAAUAGCAUUACUGUGUGUCACUCCAAACAAGCAUAUUUUAAAAGUCUUUGCGUUCAUUAAUGUGCUGAUAAUGUGUAAAAUAAAUCACGUGAAAUGGUUAAUAAGCCUCAGAAGUUAACAAAACCCAAGAGGACUUUAUAUCAGUUGUUUUGUCAUACCAGCCGUCCAUAAGCCAAAGGAAUUCAGUUAAGCAAAGAACGCAGAACAAAUACUACUUAUUAAAUGACUAAUAGGAUUAUCAUGCAUAUGUUGAAUAUGUCUGGUGAAGAGCUCAAGACAAGGCGAGGUGAAAAUGCUCUUCAAGCAUCCCAAUGCAACCAUUGAUGACUCAAAGGUGGAAACUCAGUAUUCAUCUAAAAUGUUUUAAAACGAUGAUAUGCUAAUGAGCUAAAAGAUGUUAGAAGGUCAGUGUCUUAAUGCAGACUUCAGAGUGGGUCUUCCUACGUGCGUGUGUGUCUGUGUGCGUGUGUGUUAAGAGUGCUGGUGUGCUUUCUAUCAUAUCAGUGGUUGGAGAUAUUAUAGAGAACAAGCGUGCAUUUUAACAAUGAAGCUGUUGCGCAAAACCUCAGCGUGUGUACGACACUCUCGUUGCGCAUUUUUGCGGCCUGCAUUCUUUAACGCGCCAACCUCAACGCCUGACCUUUGAACCCUGAGAACGAAAGAGCUCCACUCUUGAACAAACUGCUUCUUACCUGGAGUCCCCUGCGCCUCAAAAUACUCGAGUCAUCCAUGAUUGAGAGAGCUCGGGUGUCUCUCCCUUUUUGGUUCUCUUCUUUUACAAGGCUACAAAGUUCAGGCACUUUCCAGGAGGUCUGUGCACAAGGAGGAACGCUACAUAAGGACCCCCCUCCUCUUCUUUGUCCAUCAACGGCCACCAAAAUGUCAACAAAAAGGCGUUUUGAGUUGCCGAGCAAGUUGCCUGGAUCUAAGAUGCGGCCCUCGGUUCAAAACAUUCCACUCGGCUUAUUUUCCAGAUCGGUAAAAGCUCCACAAGCGGGGUUCUCUCCUCACACGAGUCUUUGCUUUAAAAGACCUGCACUGGUUCUUUGAAGAACAUGCACGUGCACUGAAGUGGUGUCAAAACCAGUGAUAGUUUCUAAUUAAAGUUGAUCAAAAAUGUCCAACCUGAGGCUUCAAGGGAUAAUCCGUUUGGCUAAGAGAAGAAACGAGAAGACAGCACAGAGAAGGAUUUAGAAGGAUUAACGGCAGCGGAAAGUGUGGCGGUCUUCUUGUCUUUAGCUGUGGGUCAAAGCAUCAACUCCUUUAGCUCUCCGUGCUCGAGCUGGUGGUGGAGCAAGGUGCCGCGAGGCUAAGGACCGUCCUCUCCUCUCCCUCGUCGUCGGAGCACGUGUCCUUCCUCAGCUCGGCCUCCGUCCGCCGCUCUUCCAUUCAUCCGUUUAGGCAGUGGACACACCCCUUCGCCUCGCUCUCAGAGAGAGAGAGAGAGAGAGAGAGAGAGAGAGAGAGAGAGAGAGACCAGCGCUCGGCUCUCUGCUUUCUUCAGCUGUUUUCCAACCUUCUGUUCUCUUGUCCUCUUCCGUCCGCCUCCCACCCUUUAAGGCACUAGGACUCUGCUGCCUCCAUUAUUCAUGGGUGACUCGAGAUAGAAAUUAAUGAUGACAAUGGGGCCUCAGGGGAAUGGAAGGUGGGAGGGGAGGAGAGGACUGAGGGGAGGCAAAAACAUAAAUGGGGAGGGCACCAGCUUGGAGCCCUCCAGCUUGGCCGAGCUGUCCCGCAAGAGAUCCCAGAAUGCAGGAACACACGCGGGGAGCCGGCCGGCCUCUCAAGAGCCUCUUUGGACCGGCGGCGGGCUGUCGGUCAGGAGUGUGUGGGUUGGGGAAGGAGUCCAGUUUAGGGACAAAAAGGUUUUUUUCUGUAUGGGACAAGUUGAAAAAGAAAAAAAGUCCAAUAAUAAUAAUAAUAAUAAUAUACUUUGAGCUGCUGGACUCGUCUGUCGUUAGUUAGUGAAAGCGGACAGAAAACAAGAGGUUGUUUGUUUGCUAGCACCGCUCCACUUGGCGACGAGGCACCUUGCAUCCAUCUCCAUGCCAACCGGCCGGGCCAGAUUCCAUCUGGUUAAAGCCGGCGGUAGCUCAGGGACUCCGGCACACGCUCACACACACACACUACACACACACACAAACGGCCGUCUCCACAUGCAAGCGCGUCACACACGCAGGUCAUCUCUUCUUCUGCGCCGUCCCCCUCUGCAUCUCCGAACUCUGGUGCUGGAGAAGGAAGACGAGUCGUUGCCUCCCUCAACGAGAAAGUGCAGAUGUGCCCUCCCUCCACCCCCCCGCAGCAGAUCCCUUCCUUCCUCUUCUCCUGCUCUCCACAUCCGUCCGUGGCUUCUGUUGUUUGCGUUCCUCGGCUCUCUCCGAUGUGUCAGUGUGCUCACGUGCUCCGACUCCUCCCCCCGCUUCUUUCACCAAUCGCUCUCCCUCCUUAGCUCUCUCCCUCUCUGCAGAGGCGUGAGCAGACGACAGAGACUACUCUCUCAAUGAAUGAAGGGGCUUUGAGCGCUCCGCCUCCAUCAACCCCCCCCCCCCUCUCUCUCCAUCAUGCGCCUCCACAGCCUCGCUCCCUCCGAUCAAAACAAGAGGGUGUGCCACACGGACGCAGCAAUCUGCGGCUCGGGUUUUGUGUACGGCUGUGAAUUAAUCAUGAGCGCACUGAUCGGCGGCUCCAGCUGAUUACUUAUUAAACAGGAUGAGUUCAAACACGGACGGGGGCGCUUUUCUUAUUCAUCAUUCAGCGACUCAAAUGUGAGGACGCGGUCAAGCGGUGGGCACUCUCAUCGCUCUUUCUGAUUUUUUGCAAGCCGGCUGCAGAGAUUUAAACACGAGGGCCGUCGUGUGGUGAAGUCGGGCUCAGAGUCCCUGUUCCAGUUCAUCCAGAAGGCGUCGGAUGGGGUUGAGGUCGGGGCUUAGUGCGGCCAAGUCAAACUGGAAAAACUGUUUCCGAGUUGGCUUUGUGCACAGGCACAUGGGACUCCAACUAGGGAGUCCGACUUGGAAGCACAGCGGCAUCUAAGACACCAUUGUAUGCCGCAGCAAAGAGAUUCUUUGUUGGAAGAAAGAGCUAAAAACCAGGGCCAGAUGAAACAUAAAGCUUGGAGCUUGGACAGCACCGCCCGCAUACUUUUGGCUGUGUUUAAAACAGGCAAAAUCCCUGUUUCACCAUUUUGGGACAACUUGUAUUAUUAUUAUAGCAUGAGAAAAUCUCACACUGUCGUUCCAUCCGCUUGAGGACAGGAUGACAUAAAAUACAUAACAGCCCAUGUGGAAAACUACGCAGGACACUAUUUUUAACUGGUCUCCUCUGCAAAGAAGGAGGGGACAGGAGGGAAAAAAGAGGCAGAGUGGCUGGUGUCCUCCUACGCUCCGCAGAGAGCCAUGGAGCGAUGACUCAUCAGGAGGGGAGAUUUGUUGAUGAGGAGCGGUGGGUGGGUUGAACAACCGAGAAAAGCACCAGCCCUUCUCCAGCAGUGGAAGCCGUUUAGCUGUAACACAUUACUUGCGAGGGAAUUAUGUUGUGCGUUCAAUCUGUGGCUCUUGUGGAGCAGACCCUGCUUGAAUUGGACCUCAAGAAUUAAGCUUUCUUGGCCUCUAUGAAGAGCCUAUAUGCCGCUCUGCUACGACGCCUCCAUCAUCAUAGUUGGGGGUGAGCUUCCUGUAUUGAAUUGACAGUGAGCGGAUCUUAUAGGGAGUUGGAGAGGGAACAGCACGAUGGUACCAAGUGGACCAAUCACCACGUUGCGCUCUGCGUCUGGUCGGAUAAGCCAGAGUGAGAGCAACACCAAGCGUUCCCAAGCGCCUAUUUUUAGAAAAGUAAAGUAACUGCAGGACCACCUGUCACGUGACAAGGAACGACAAAUUAUGCCGAAUUUUCUCCUUAAAUAUCCAUAAAGCAAAUGCAGCAGUAAAGCUCCUGUGAGGGAUUCAGAUAGCUGCAGACCCUCUUACCUUGGUUUUGAUUGAUUGUUUUACGUGACGAGGCUUCCCGCUAAAUUCAACGUCAUUAUAAUUGUCGUCACAACGCUCCGGUUCUGGUUGCUUAGCGACGGUAAGCGCGGCGGUACAGCAUGAACUCAACGUACUGUGCGUCUAUGCACGGGUCGGCAUCUGCCCCCACCUCCCUUUGUGAGCAGAAACCAGACCCAAAGUGGUGUUGGUGAAACAGUAUGAGGCCCGUCCCUCUCCGUCGGCCCCCCAGCUCCUGGUCAGAGCCUCCUUGUUAAUGAGAGCAAAGGCCAAAGGGGGCCACAGAGAGGAAUGUUCACACAGCCACAAUGAGUCCGACACCGGCUUACUGAGGGAGUGUGUCCACCGACUCGUCACCGACACACACACACACACACACACACACACACACACGGCUGAGUUUUGUUGCCUCCGAAAUACAUCUUCGCAAACUUUAUUUGAUCGUGUGAGAACAUCUUGAGUAUUACACUUAUUUACAGGAACCUCCCUACCUACUCUGCGCAUUAGACGUACGUCUACAGAAACAAAUGUAUAUAUUUAUUAUGUAAUUAAAAAUGCUCAGUGAUGUAAAACAGCUGGUCACUGUAGCUUUAAUUAAACAAACAGAAGACCUGUCCGCAGCGGAUGAAUCCACAUUUGGUGCCUUGGUGAGUGAUUGUGGCAGCAGGACUGCAUGUUGCCCCGAGUCAAAGUAAACCACAGCGUGUGUGUUCCUGGUGAUGAAGGAACAUCUCACCCAGUGCAACAGCGAGGCUUUGUGUCACGGAGGGAGAUUCAUCAAGCGUUUAUUUACAAAAGACUCGAACACACGUCGCCGCUCGGGCAGAAGAGUCCGGCAUCACCAAGCCGACGUGGAAGGACGCCUUUGGUUUCACACUUGGCGAACGGUGUGAAGCGGUUCACUUUACAAAAGUGUGGUUAACGGUGUAAAAGGCGGGCGGGUAGGUUCAGGCAAAGUAAACACCUGGUUCAGAUAAGAGAAGAAAAAAAAAAAAAAGACACGAGAAACAAAAGAGAAGAUAAAAUGGGGGUAAGCAGCGAUGUUGGGAGACGGGGAUGGAGAUAAGAAAGGAUGUUUUCUUCUCUGCUUCGCACACAACCAAUUAAACCAAAAGCCUGUUGGUGCUGCUUUAUGUCUGCGCCGUAUUGGAGGUUAAUUGAAGCGGUGGCCCCGGCUCUCCCCGUCAAUGGCGAAGAAUUGCCCACAGCAGCAUUUUCUCUCUCUUUCAGUCUCUAAAUCUUUUCCGUGUCGCAAAAAAAUAAAUAAAUUGUAUUUUUUUGACCCCCCUCCUGCGCCCUCGUCGUCCGACCAGAGGAGCACUGGGCACUCAGACAGCGUCAGGUCUGAUUUUAGCUGACAGCGUCGGGCUUGUUGAGCCCUGUGAAAACCAGGGAGCCAGUUAGCUUCUGCAGGUCUUUACACGACAUAGUGGAGGAUGGAACAUACACAUAACAUACAUGUACACGUCACAUCUCCAACUGGUUCAGAGUGGAGGAGAAAAAAAAGUCCUCUAAUGAUGGCACCAACAAAAUCAAAAGCGUAAUUUAAACAGAACUCAAGACCAGCUUCAUGUUCCAAAACAUAGCAAACUAUAAAUUGUGAAACUGCAAAACAUUUAUGCUAAAUAGACACAUAAGAACAUCUGGCUUUUAACCAAAUUCACGUUUUAAUCAUUUAAAGGAGUAUUCCUUUCGUUUCAAAUUAAAUCUACAAAUAAAAAUUCCUUCCUGAAGGCCAAAGCUAAAUAGAAGUAGACAAACAUGCACGACCUCAAGCCCAAAGACAUCCCAUAAUUCAUUGUGGCGCUUGCUGAAAGUUCUGAGUCAAACUGCUGUUGGGUGAAGUUGUCAUUCACACACAGUCAGUCGUCGGAGUAUUUAUUGACAUUGAUUUGAUCAGCAUGAUAUCGUCCUGCAUUCCACAGCUACGGCCGGUGCUGCAUGACGAUAUGGAAACAAGCGACCUCCGACCGGUAGAGAGGCUGGAGAUGGGAUCUAAUAUCUGCAGAGUCUCGGCUGGCGGAGCGGGUGUUUGAGUGUUUACUGAAAAUGCUCCGCUCCUUUGCAACGCAAAUUGCAAAACAUCACUGACUGCAGUCGGUGAUGUUUUGACCUGGUGGGCUUCCAGUAAAUAUUUUAAUUAAAAAUGAUUACAUUUUUCAUGUAAAGGUAGUUUUUUUUUCCAAAUUGGUCUUCAUUGGGCCCUCCUUUUAUUUACAGUUUGGUUACUUAAUUAAAAACCAUCGACAAGGAACCAAGGGCACAGAUUCACAUCCACCAACACGUCACACAAUCACAGUGAAGUCACACAUGCAAAUAGAAAAAUAGCAUGAAUAAGAAGUUGUUUAAGCUCCUGUGUGUGUGUGACUCCAUCAGACCGUCCGUCCGUCCGUCCGUCCGUCCGUCUGUCUGUCUGGACAAACGCCCUUUGUGUUCCGACCCACUGACCCGGGGCAAACAAUACGGGUAAAUGCGGUCUGGGCUGCUCGUGGCAGCGCCAGCGGUUACAAGAACACAACGUCUGACGAGUGCAGAGAUGGACAAGCAAGGGAAAGGUGCUUGAGGGAGACGAGAAGGAGGCAAUUAAAGACAGCUUGAGAGACACCGAACGGAGCAACAACCCGGCUUGUUAUUGCGCCUGUGUGUGUUUCUGCAUUAUGCGGACAGGCUGUGCGUUGUGCUGACGUUUGAACGUAGAUGUCAGCCUCCCCAGACAGGCCAGCGGGGGUUGUGGGGGAAGGAGGGGGCCGGGAGAGGGAGGUCGCUCUGGCCUUCAGUCAUCGCAAAUCACUUCUUUAUCAUCCAGGCAGUACCGAGUGCUGCGCUGCACUUAAUGAAGCCGAAUAUCCACAGAAGAACAAGAGGGAGACUUCUGUUUGACGCUUGCGUAAGAAGCCGAGUGAUUUAUCCAAAAGGACUUCAUACCAAAAUGCUUCACAUCUCUCUCGUGCCUUGAAAUAUAACCAAAGUCAAAGUGAAUUAGCUAUAAGUUCACGUCAUCACUUAAAGCGGAACUUUGUAGCUCCCUAUGAGGAGCUGAACAUUUUGAGUUUAACUGGACUCAAGGUGAUGUGGAAGGGCACUCCUGUGUGUCAGUUCACCGAGACCUCGCCAAGCCCCGCCCCUAGUGAAGCUAGUUAAAUCAUGCAUAAUGCAUGCUUAGAUGUUUGUUUUCCAACGUCCUUCUACGACCUCAUUUUGAGUGUCAAGUUGUUUUGCUUUGACCCCAAAGAAAGACAUUUAAUGACAGGCGGAGCCUCCCGGUGCCCCUCCAGAAGCCUUGUUGAGAGGGCUGCGCUCCCACGUUCAGUGGCGAGGAGAUAGAAGCGCCACGUCCGAUGAUGAAGCUCACACCAGCUCAAAGCCUACUAGAAGACGAGGGGAGAAAAU